GAGUUUGAUCCUGGCGUCACGAUGAACGCUAGCGGCAAGCUUGACACAUGCCAGACUAGGGGUAUUCUAGCAUUAGGAGAGACCAGCUCACGAGUGCGAAACGAGUAUGCAAUCUACCUUUCACAGAGGGAUAGCCCAGACAAAUUUGGAUUAAUACCUCAUAGCAUUAUGGAAUGGCAUCAUUUUAUAAUUAAAGGCACAGCGGUGAAAGAUGAGCAUGCCUCCCAUUACCUAGUUGGUAAGGUAACGGCUUACCAAGGCGACGAUGGGUAUGGGUCCUGACAGGGAGAUCCCCCACACUGCUACUGAGACACGGACCAGACUCCUACGGGAGGCAGCUGAGAAGAAUAUUGGACAAUGGGCGCAAGCCUGAUCCAGCCAUGCCGCGUGCAGGAUGACCGUCCUAUGGAUUGUAAACUGCUUUUGCACACGAAGAAACACCCCCUCGUGAGGGGGCUUGACGGUACUGUGAGAAUAACGAUCGGCUAACUCCGUGCCAGCCGCCGCGGCAAUACCGACGAUCCAAGCGCUAUCCGGAAUCAUUGAGUUUCAAGGAUCCGUACGCGGUUUAGUAAGUCAGCGGUGAAAGCCCAUCGCUCAACGGUGGAACGGCCAUUGAUACUGCUAGACU
rnacentral:rRNA from 1 species